AUUGAACGCUGGCGGCAUGCUUUACACAUGCAAGUCGAACGGCAGCACGGACUUCGGUCUGGUGGCGAGUGGCGAACGGGUGAGUAAUACAUCGGAACGUACCCAGUAAUGGGGGAUAACUAUCCGAAAGGAUAGCUAAUACCGCAUACGCCCUACGGGGGAAAGAGGGGGAUCGCAAGACCUCUUGUUAUUGGAGCGGCCGAUGGCUGAUUAGCUAGUUGGUAGGGUAAAGGCCUACCAAGGCAACGAUCAGUAGCGGGUCUUAGAGGACGAUCCGCCACACUGGAACUGAGACACGGUCCAGACUCCUACGGGAGGCAGCAGUGGGGAAUCUUGGACAAUGGGCGCAAGCCUGAUCCAGCAAUGCCGCGUGCGUGAAGAAGGCCUUCGGGUUGUAAAGCGCUUUUGUCAGGGAGCAAAUCCUUGUGGCUAAUACCCACCGGGGAUGAGAGUACCUGAAGAAUAAGGACCGGCUAACUACGUGCCAGCCGCCGCCGUAA
rnacentral:rRNA from 1 species